rnacentral:misc_RNA from 1 species
GCAUUCGUUCCCGCCAACGGAGAAAAGUGAUUCAGACAUUGAGCCGGAGAUGGUUUACUCACCGUCAACAGUUUGAACUGUGCCUCUGUCUGGGGAUGUGGACUUUGACACUAAAUAUAAAUAAAAUCUUAAUGCAAUUAAAUAUUUAACUAACAGUUUAAUAACAAAAGCAAGUUUGUGAGGAUAUUUCAAACAUCAGUGAAGUUAUGUGAAUCAGUUCGGGUUUAGGAGUGUAAUUUUUACCACGCUGGGCAAGCGAGUUGGUGACCGCAGAGCUGGCUUUGCAACAAUGAAGACGCUGGCACUAUAUUCAUAUUUAAGCCUUGGUAUACAUGUGACGCCCGAAGCGAAAAUGGCACAGUUCAAAAUGGCGGGUGAAAGAUCAAUAUGACCCACCAAAACCUAACACUAUCUCUUUCACACUCAUUAAAUUGAUACUCUCCUCUCUUUCUGACGCGAUGUCUCGUCGUAACUACAAUACGUCGUAUGACGAAAGCGCAUGAACUGAAAAUAGCAUGAAAACGUAUGGAAACAAAAAAAUAAUAAUGGACGCUCUAUCAAUAGAGUUACACAGAAAAAAGUAAUUAUGAAUUUAGAAUACUCUAUGCUUCAUAAAACAGAAAUUAUUAGACCAAAAAUAAACUGGACUAUGAGGAGGAGUUCCUUGGAGACCUACGAUAAGAAGAAUUGAUGUUCAAAGUCAAAGGUUUAUUAAUACUCCACUUUACUUUGGAAGAAAUUAUAUCCACUUUGCUUUGAAAGAAAGUAAUUUAAAAAGCACUUUUCGAGUAUUUUAUGCUGUAAAAAUUCUUGAAUAACUUUGAAUGGUUAUUGCAAAUACUAAGAGGAUUUCAUUUAAGUUGGCGCAGACGAUGGUGCUAUUGAACUAUCUACAUUUGCAUAAUUUGUAACAAUCAAAAGACCUAGACCAAUUUGUAUUAAGAAUAUAUAUUGCAUUUCUUUUCAC